rnacentral:rRNA from 1 species
CACGUAGGGGGCGAGCGUUGUCCGGAUUUAUUGGGCGUAAAGAGCUCGUAGGCGGCUUUGUCAGUCGGGUGUGAAACCUCCAGGCUCAACCUGGAGCCGCCACCCGAUACUGCAAUAGCUAGAGUCCGGUAGGGGAGCAUGGAACUCCUGGUGUAGCGGUGAAAUGCGCAGAUAUCAGGAGGAACACCAGUGGCGAAGGCGGUGCUCUGGGCCGGAACUGACGCUGAGGAGCGAAAGCGUGGGGAGCAAACAGG